rfam:Spizellomyces punctatus DAOM BR117 chromosome Tnknown supercont1.8, whole genome shotgun sequence.
GGCUCAGUGGUUUAGUGGUAUAAUACCCGCUUAGGGUGCGGGUGGUCCCGAGUUCGAUUCUCGGCUGAGCCC